rnacentral:rRNA from 1 species
GGGAGGCAGCAGUGAGGAAUUUUGCGCAAUGGGCGAAAGCCUGACGCAGCAACGCCGCGUGGAGGAUGAAGGUCUUCGGAUCGUAAACUCCUGUCAGGGGGGAAGAACGUCCCGCAAGGGGCCUGACUGUACCCCCUGAGGAAGCCACGGCCAACUCCGUGCCAGCAGCCGCGGUAAUACGGAGGUGGCAAGCGUUGUUCGGAAUUACUGGGCGUAAAGGGCGCGUAGGCGGCUUGGCAAGUCGGAUGUGAAAUCCCCGGGCUUAACUCGGGAACUGCAUCCGAAACUGCUUUGCUUGAGUCCUGGAGGGGGUAGUGGAAUUCCCAGUGUAGCGGUGAAAUGCGUAGAUAUUGGGAGGAACACCGGUGGCGAAGGCGGCUACCUGGACAGUGACUGACGCUGAGGCGCGAAAGCUAGGGGAGCGAACGGGAUUAGAUACCCCGGUAGC